AUCCAGAUGACGAGUCCGAAAUAGGACGAAACGCGCAUCCUUGAU
rnacentral:hammerhead_ribozyme from 1 species